GUGAAGCUGCUGGUGACAUUUUAGAGGGAAAACAUCGGAAUGGAUCAGAUCAAGCUUGGGACCAGUGCGACCCUGACAUGACAUAUUUCCUCUUUUGGGUGAGAGGCGGGUCCACCCUGGACUAGUCACGAGUCAAUCGCAAGGCUCAUGUAGAGAACAAGUACUCACAUUAAGGAAAAAUACAAUGGUGCCUUGAAAUACAUUUGGCUUGACUGAGAUAUGAACUGUUGUGUGGGAGGCAUUUUGGCAGGGUAUUAGUAAAAUAUUUGAGAUUCAAGUGCGCUUCAGACCCCCACCAAUAUCGUGCAGUCAGGCACCAGGGAGCCGCCAUGGACCAUGUGAGUAGGUUGCAAGCCAAAAGCUAAAAAAUAGCUCACCAGCCAUUGGACGUUGUGAUUGUCUAUUAAUGUGCCUUGUUUUGAUUAUUUUAAAUUGCAGACAAGCACCGUGUACAGUAUAGACGCCAUGACUGACCAAAGCAGCAAAUUAAAGAAAGCAACAGCACAGACUGGUGAUUGAUUUGGAAGCUCAACAUGGAAUUGCGGCCAAAGCAGGCAGACACAAGUUGUUCCCGAAGUGUGCAUGGUUGAGCUUCACUUGAGCUUUAUUUGGGAACUGCACGUCUUGUUACAUCCGUCAAAUCGCUGCUUUGUCAGCACGGUUCCCCCGAGACAGGAAGAGGGCUGAGCCAGCCCCUGUGUGUUGCUGUUUGCGCACGGCCAUCUGAGUCCCGAAAGAGAAGCAACUCCCACUGCGCUCUGCCUGAUGAUUCACAGGCCAGGCUGCUGAUUGGUUGGCUGGCAGUGACCCAAGGAGGUGCCGGCACACUUGCAUUCCUCCAGGAAAGGACUACAGAGUCAUGAUGACAGAGGCAUGACUACGGAGGCAGCAGUGCCUCAGACGAAGCUGCAGAGCAAAAAUCUGUGGCAUCCAAAUAAUGGUUCGGGCACCUUUUAUGGACGGUUGUCUAACAAAUGACGUGGCUCAUACUGUUGAAUUGUACUACUUGGAGCCAAUUUGUCUAGUUGUAAUAAAAGAUGUAUCGUUGCGGCUGAAUUGAUUCAUUGCAAUUCAUCAAGUUCAAGUCAACAUCACAAUGUAAUAGAAUACAAUUUU